rnacentral:rRNA from 1 species
AUUGAAACGCUGGCGGCGUGCCUAAACACAUGCAAAGUCGAAACGGGUGAAAGGAGCUUGCUCCUGGAUUCAGUGGCGCACGGGUGAGUAACACGUGGAUAAUCUACCCAUUGGUACGGGACAACAGUUGGAAACGACUGCUAAUACCGAAUACGAACUGUUUUUUAUCUACAGUUGAAAGGAGGCCUCUAUUUAUAAGCUUUCGCCGAUGGAUGAGUCCGCGCCUCAUUAGGUAGUUGGUAGGGUAAUGGCCUACCAAGCCAACGAUGAGUAGCCGGCCUGAGAGGGUAAUCGGCCACACUGGGACUGGAACACGGCCCAGACUCCUACGGGAGGCAGCAGUGGGGAAUAUUGCGCAAUGGGCGAAAGCCUGACGCAGCGACGCCGCGUGAGGGAUGAAGGCCUUUGGGUCGUAAACCUCUGUCAGAAGGGAAGAAGUGCAUGGGGUGCUAAUCAGCUCAUGUUUGACGGUACCUUCAGAGGAAGCACCGGCUAACUCCGUGCC